rnacentral:rRNA from 1 species
GAUAAACGCUGGCGGCGUGCCUAACACAUGCAAGUCGAACGCCCUUGCGCAAGUGAGGGAGUGGCGGACGGGUGAGGAACACGUGGGUAUCUACCUUGAGGUGAGGAAUACCGGCGAGAAAUCGCCGACAAUACCGCAUACCUUUCGUUCACGAAAGAAAGUCUCGCAAGAGACGCCACAAGAUGAGCCUGCGCCCGAUUAGCUAGUUGGUGAGGUAAGAGCUUACCAAGGCGACAAUCGGUAGCUGGUCUGAGAGGACGAUCAGCCACACUGGGAU